CAAACUUCAUAGACCUUAUUAAUUGUAAGGGGCUUUAUUAAGGCCGGUUACUAAUAUUAGUGCCCACUACUCAGGCUUCACUUGUAUUUUUUUUUAAAUUUUAAACAAAAAAUUAGUUGUUUUUUUUUUUUGUGUUUUUUUUAGGAAAAUGAAAUAAAAAAAUAGUUGGUACUUCCCUACUAGUCUGCGCUUCUUUUGCCUACACACCUUUAUUUACUUUUUUUUUUUUUUUUUUUUUUUUUUUGUUUUUACUUAUCCUGAAUACCCCCAAUUCCCAAUUUUACAAAACGAAAACAUUGAAGAACCCUAACUUCUUACUGACUUCCUCUCCCCUCACUCUCAUUCAAGGACCGGCGCUGCUCUCAGAUCGACGUUGGCCGCGUCCCGCCGACGGCCGAUCGGUGUUCGCCUGCUUGCCUUUAGCCUUCUCUGAGUUCUCUCUCUUCGACAAAGCAAAACUCUAGUCUCCAGGUUAUAUGUAGGACUUGACAAACUGCACACAAGAUGAAAUUACAGAGAGGGCUACUGCCGCCAAGUGAAACUGACAAUGAUAAUUUCAAAAUUAAACGAUACAUAGCAAAUUAAAAUACAUCAUUAAUCCUGCCAUAGCUAAUGGGUUUUCUAAUAAGUAUGUUGGAUCAGUUGAGGUAUGUUGCUUAUACCAGCUUGACAUAAAUUUUGCAUCAUUUAUAACUCUUCUUGAAUAUUAAUUUCCCAAAUUUAUUUAUUUUUCACAAUUUACUUGGCUCUCAUAUGCAUAAUACGCAAGAAAGGAUACAUGGAGUAUUCUAGUUUUUUUACAUUGAAUAAUUAUUCCCUGUUGGUUGGGAAGUUGGCUGAUCUUGUUGUGUGGGAUCCUGCUUUCUUUGGGGCAAAACUAGAAAUAAUCAUUAAAGGUGGUGAAAUUUCAUGGGCUAAUAUGGGUGAAGCUAAUGCUAGCAUACCAACACUAGAGUUAUGGGUGAAGCUAAUGCUAGCAUAACAAUAUUAUUUUGUCAUUGUUUAAAGGAGUUAUGCUUACUAGUUUAAUGUCUUAUCUUGGCUUAUCAAACAUCAGAAAGUUAUGCGUUUAGCAUUCAUAUGAUGCUCCCUCCAUCCUGAUUCCCUUAAAAAAUAAGCUAUAAUUCUAUUUUUGGUUGUUGCGUAGCACUAACAAUGUGGUGGUACCGAAUGUGCUUCUUAUGUAAUGAGAUAUAUGUAUGAGAUAGUAUCUUUCCAUAUCGAUUGCAAGAGAAAUUUAAAAGAGGUUAGUGAUGAAUUUACCUCUUCUUUGCAAGAUAAAAUGCUUUAUACAAGUUUUGGUUGAUGUUUUAUUUUUAUAAAGUAUUAUAGACACGUAUUUUUUUUUAAUAUAUUUGCAGGAGUAUUUGGCAAGACUUGUAGCCUACAACGAUGUAGAAUUGAAUGAGAUUCGAGAACAAUGGGCUAAGUUUUUUAGGCUUAAUUUUUUGUUAAAAGACUAGUUAUCUUAUUAAUCGAUGUUAUGAUUAAUCGCAUUUAGCUUAAUAAAACAAUAUAACACUUUCUAUAUAUCAACUUUUAUUUAGCCUAUUGGUUAUUGUUAUU